GACGAACGCUGGCGGCGUGCCUAAUACAUGCAAGUCGAGCGGACGGAUGGGAGCUUGCUCCCAGACCGUCAGCGGCGGACGGGUGAGUAACACGUGGGCAACCUGCCUGUAAGACUGGGAUAACUCCGGGAAACCGGGGCUAAUACCGGAUAACUCUUUCCCUCACAUGAGGGAAAGCUGAAAGAUGGCAUCUCGCUAUCACUUACAGAUGGGCCCGCGGCGCAUUAGCUAGUUGGUGAGGUAACGGCUAACCAAGGCGACGAUGCGUAGCCGACCUGAGAGGGUGAUCGGCCACACUGGGACUGAGACACGGCCCAGACUCCUACGGGAGGCAGCAGUAGGGAAUCUUCCGCAAUGGACGAAAGUCUGACGGAGCAACGCCGCGUGAGUGAUGAAGGUUUUCGGAUCGUAAAACUCUGUUGUCAGGGAAGAACAAGUACCGGAGUAACUGCCGGUACCUUGACGGUACCUGACCAGAAAGCCACGGCUAACUACGUG
rnacentral:rRNA from 1 species